AGGAAACUAUCACUCUAAGCCAGAUUGAAAGUUCAAGGUAGGUUGGACCAGAUGGGGACAGGAGCUGGUGAGAGAUGGUUCAUUUGUGGAUACUGCUGAAGGAAGAGGCAAAGCAAUGUGUCUGGAAAUGAGAUUUGGAGGAAAACAGAAUGAAUCCUACACAUGUGUACAAACCCGCAAAUGAGGGGAAAGCACAGGGAGCUUGUGUCAAAUUCUCCAGCAAAGAUGUGCACAGUUAGAAUUGAAAAGCAAUGGGAUAAACAAGGAAAGUGCAAAGAGGAUCAUGUGUUGUUCUUGUGUAUAAAAGAUUCCUUGAAGCAUCUUGGAUUAAGUCGCGCGCAAGAUGGCUGAAUAGGAACAGCUCUGGUCUGCAGUUCCCAGCAAGAUCAAUACAGAAGGCCUGCCUUACAAGAGCUCCUGAAGGAAGUACUAAAGAUGGACAGGAAAACCAGGUUUCAGACACUGCAAAAACAUACCAAAUUGUAAAGACCAUCGACACUGUGAAGAAACUACAUCAACUAAUGGGCAAAAUAACCAGCUAGCAUCAUAAUGACAGGAUUAAAUUCACACACAACAAUAUUAACCUUAAAUGUAAAUGGGCUAAAUGCUGCCACUAAAAGACACAGACUGACAAACUGGAUAAAGAGUAAAGACUCACUGAUGUGCUGUAUUCAGGAGAUCCAUCUCACGUGCAAAGACACAUAUAGGCUCAAAACAAAGGAAUGGAGGAAUAUUUACCAAGCAAAUGGAAAGCAAAAAAAAAAGCAGGGUUGCAAUCCUAGUCUCUGAUAAGACAGACUUUAAACCAAUAAAAGUCAAAAAAGACAAAGAAGGGCAUUACAUAAUGGUAAAGGGAUCAAUGCAACAAGAAAAGCUAACAAUCCUAAAUAUGUAUGCACCCAAUAUAAGAGCACCCAGAUUCAUAAAGCGAGUUCUUAGAGACCUACAAACAGACUUAGACUCUCAUACAAUAAUAGUGGGAGACUUUAACACCCACUGUUAAUAUUAGACAGACCAAAAUGAGACAGAAAAUUAAUAAGGGUAUUCAGGAACUUGAAUUCAUUUCUUGACCAAGCGGACCUAAUAAACAUCUACACAACUCUCCACCCUGAAUCAACAGAAUAUACAUUCUUCUCAGCACCACAUUGCACUUAUUCUAAAAGUGAUCACAUAAUUGGAAGUAAAACACUCCUUAACAAAUGCAAAAGAAUGGAAAUCAUAACAAACAGUCUACCAGACCACAGUGUAAUCAAAUUAGAACUCAGGAUUAAGAAACUUACUCAAAACCUCACAACUACAUGGAAACUGAACAACCUGCUCCUGAAUGACUACUGAGUAAAUAAUGAAAUUAAGACAGAAAUAAAUAAGUUAUUUGAAACCAAUGAGAACAAAGACAACGUACCAGAAUCUCUGGGACACAGCUAAACCAGUGUUUAGAGGAAAAUUUAUAGCACUAAAUGCCCACAGAAGCAAGUGGGAAGGAUCUAAAAUCGACACCCUAACAUCACAAUUAAAAGUACUAGAGAAGCAAAAGCAAACAAAUUCAAAAGCUAGCAGAAGACAAGAAAUAACUAAAAUCAGAGUAGAACUGAAGGAGAUAGAGACGUGAAAAACCCUUCAAAAAAUCAAUGAAUCCAGGAACUGGUUUAUUGAAAAGAUUAACAAAAUAGAUAGACCGCUAGACAGACUAAUAAACAAGAAAAGAGAGAAAAAUCAAAUAGACACAAAAAGUGAUAAAGGGGAUAUCACCACUGAUCCCACAAAAAUACAAAAUGCCCUCAGAGAAUACUAUAAACACUUCUACACAAAUAAACUAGAAAAUCAGAAGAAAUGGAUAAAUUCCUGGAAACAUACACCCUCCCAAGUCUAAACCAGAAAGAAGUUGAAUCCCUGAAUAGACCAAUAACAAGUUCCGAAAUUGAGGCAGUAGUUAACAGCCUUCCAACCAAAAAAAACCGAGGAUCAGACAGAUUCACAGCUGAAUUCUACCAGAGGUACAAAGAGAAGCUGGUACCAUUCCUUCUGAAACUAUUCCAAACAAUAGAAAAAGAGGCUCUGCUCCCUAACUCAUUUUAUGAGGCCAGCAUCAUCCUGAGACCAAAACCUGGCAGAGACAUAAUAAAAAAAGAAAAUUUCAGGCCAAUAUCCCUGAUUAACAUAGAUGCGAAAAUCCUCAAUAAAAUACUGGCAAACUGAAUCCAGCAACAUAUAAAAAGUUAUCCACCAUAAUCAAGUCGGUUUCAUCCUUGGGAUGGAAGGCUGACUCAACAUAUGCAAAACAAUAAACACAGUCCAUCACAUAAACAGAACCAAUGACAAAAAUUACAUGAUUAUCUCAAUAUAUGCAGAAAAGGCCUUUAAUAAAAUUCAACACCCCUUCAUGCUAAAAAAAUCUCAAUAAACUAGGUAUCGAUGCAAUGUAUCUCAAAAUAAUAAGAGCGAUUUAUGACAAACCCACAGCCAAUAUCAUACUGAAUGGGCAAAAGCUGGAAGCAUUCCCUUUGAAAACUGGCACAAGACAAGGAUGCCCUCUCUCACCAAUCCUAUUCAACAUGGUAUUGAAAGUUCUGGCCAGGGCAAUCAGGCAAGAGAAAGAAAUAAAGGGUAUUCAAAUAGGAAGAGAGGAAGUCAAAUUGUCUCUGUUCGCAGAUGACAUGAUUGUGUAUUUAGAAAACCCCACUGUCUCAGCCCAAAAUUUCCUUAAGCUGAUAAGCAACUUCAGCAAAGUGUCAGUACAAAAUCAAUGUGAAAAAUUCACAAGGAUUCCUAUACACCAAUAACAGACAGAGAGCCAAAUCAUGACUGAACUCUCAUUCACAAUUGCUACAAAGAGAAUAAAAUACCUAGGAAUACAACUUACAAGGGAUGUGAAGGACCUCUUCAAGGAGAACUACAAACCACUGCUCAGGGAAAUAAGAGAGGACACAAACAAAUGGAAAAACAUUCCAUGCUCAUGGAUAGAAAGAAUCAAUAUUGUGAAAAUGGCCAUACUGCCCAAAGUAAUUUAUAGAUGCAAUGCUAUCCCCAUAAAGCUACCAUUGACUUUCUUCUCAGAAUUAGAAAAAAACUACUUUAAAUUUCAUAUGGAACCAAAAAACAGCCCGCAUAGCCAAGACAAUCCUAAGCAUAAAGAACAAAGCUGGAGGCAUCAUGCCACCUGACUUCAAACUAUACUACAAGGCAACAGUAAACAAAACAGCAUGGUACAGGUACCAAAACAGAUAUAUAGACCAAUGGAACAGAACAGAGGCCUCAGAAAUAAUGCCACACAUCUACAACCAUCUGAUCUUUGACAAACCUGACAAAAACAAGAAAUGGGGAAAGAAUUCCCUAUUGAAUAAAUGGUGUUGGGAAAACUGGCUAGCCAUAUGCAGAAAACUGAAACUUGACCCCUUCCUUACACCUUAUACAGAAAUUAACUCAAGAUGCAUUAAAGACUUAAACGUAAGACCUAAAACCAUAAAAACCCUAGAAGAAAACCUACGCAAUACCAUUCAGGACAUAGGCAUGGGCAAAGACUUCAAGACUAAAAGAAAACCUAGGCAAUACCAUUCAGGACAUAGGCAUAGGCAAAGACUUCAUGACUAAAACACCAAAAGCAAUGCCAACAAAAGUCAAAAUUGACACAUGGGAUCUAAUUAAACGAAAGAGCUUCUGCACAGCAAAAGAAACUAUCAUCAGAGUAAACAGGCAACCUAGAGAAUGGGAGAAAAUGUUUGCAAUCUAUCCAUCUAACAAAGGGCUAAUAUCCAGAAUCUACAAGGAACUUAAACAA